GGGUGCACUUGCGUUCAGUGGUUUUUGAUUCAGUUUUUGUUGACGGGUUUGCAUAAUUAGUAUUGACCCGUCAACAAAAACUGAAUCAAAAACCACUGAACGCAAGUGCAC
rnacentral:pre_miRNA from 1 species